CUGAGCGGCGUGCCUACGGAGACGCUAAGCUAGCGGGGGCAAAGUUUCAGUGUUUUCCAUUGAUGUGUACGGCACGAAAAUUAAAACAAGAAGAAUGCCGGCUCAUUGUGCGGCAUACAGUUCCACACUACAUCGGACGAUCAAGACAAGGAAACUUGGAAUAACUUUCCACAGGGUGGGGAAAAUGUUGCUGUGGCCCAUUACAUGGUGAGCCAGAGAGGAACAGGCCGACAUUCCCACAUCACUGGACGCAGUGUACAUAAUCAAAGAAUUAAAAGAUUAUGGCGAGAUGUGUAUGGAAAUGUCCUUGAUUUGUUCCACACACUAUUUCUCAAUUUGGAAGUGGAAGGGUUUCUAAACCCUGAAAAUGAACUGGAGUUAUUCACUCUCCACUGGACCUACGUCCCACAGCUGCAGCAGCAUCUUCAGGCAUUCAAGGAAGCCUGGACUCACCAUAGUUUGAGGACAGAGAGGUUGCUGCUGAUUAUGGGAUAGACUGGACAGGACCUCACACCCCAUACCCAGAAGGCAUCACUGUACCUGAUGCACAACUACCCCAACAGCUUAUACAGGCUGAAGUUACAUCAUUGCCUGAUCCGGCCGUCCCUUUUUCUGCUGCACUACGGGCAUACAUGGAUACAGUGUAUAUUCUUAAGGACAUUUUUCAACAAACCUAGACAUAUCACAACUCACCUUAACAGAAUCAGAAAGAAACGAACAAGACUCAAAAGAAUGCUGCAAAUUUUUGGUGCAUAAUUUUAUGACCAGUUGUGAAUUUCAAAUAAAUGCCUUUGAAAACCACAAUGUGCAAAGACACAGCAAAGGGAUAUAAAACUGCUUUUAUUGCAUGCUGAAUAGUUUGACAGCUUUUAAAAGCAUUAGAACAAUGUGCCAAUAAAAAGAUUUUUUAAUAGAA